GAGCAGAUUUCAGCAAAGCAGAGCAGAGCAGAGCAAAGCAGAUUUCAGCAGAGCAGAACAGAGCAAAGCAGCUCUAAAGAACGGGGCCUUAGUUGUUUUUUCAAGACUUUAUUGUUGGUGAGCUGCUAGUACUGAUCUUCAUCCAUUUUUUUUUAUUUUUUUUUAUUUUGGUGGGCUAUUGGCUUGAGCUAGGAUAUUGCAAUCUGAAACAAUAUUAUAUCACUAAUGUUGUGACCUGCAUAUCAGAGCAGCUACUCUAAGUUCAAAGAAGAAGAGGUUGUUAGCCACAUUCUAUCGCUGGUUGACUGGUUUAACAUGCAAUUUGGCAAAUGAUGUCUUAUCUUUUGAGUGUGUGGAUAUCCUUAAUACUUUUGGAUUAAAAAGAUUAUACACUGACAACUAACACUGCAAUAUUUCAAGGUUGGAAGAAAGAUAUAUUAGAUAUUUAAAGGUUUUAAUCAAUGAUUCGGAAUUUGUUCCACUACAACUAGUCACGAAUGAAGUAUAAGUUGGAAUUAUAUUUAUUGAAAACUCGUUACUAUGAGAUAUUGUAAAUAUGCUAUAAUAUAUAUUUAUAAGAAAAAAAAAAUUGGCA